rnacentral:lncRNA from 1 species
UGGGCUGAACCAAAUAAAAUAAAGCAUAGGCUACAAGCCCACAUAAGCAAAACAAAUAAAAAGCCUAAAAAGAAAAAAAAAACAGAAAUCAAAACGUCAUUUCCCAGUCAAGUCAUCCAGCCUGGCCUCCAUUAUUUUCCAAUUUAUCAUUUCCAAAGCACCAGACUUUUCAACUGAUAGCCUUUUCUAAGAAAUCAUCUGCUUUAGCUAUCACUUGCCGUUUCACUUCCUUCCCAUCAAACCCUUUCAAUUAGGAUUUCUUGGCCAUCUUCCUCCUGCAUCCAGAGUUUCUCUCGUCUCUUCCACCAGGUAACUUCCCUCCCCUUUUCUUAGUGCCUCCUUUGCCAGGUCAUGCGCUUUAACAUUCUCUGCUCUUUGUAUGUAUCGAAAAACAAUUCUUUGAAAUCGGGUUUUAUUGUUCUGAAUAUCGACUAUAAUCGCACCUAGAACCGAUUUAUCUCUGACUCCCAUUUUGCACUUUUUGAUUAUUGUUUUCGAAUCCCCCAGUACCGUGACUGAGUUCAAACCCAUACUGAUGCCUAAGUUAGUUGCUUCUAAACAUGCUAAUGCUUCUACUACAUAUGGAGAGGAAACGUUGGAGUGAAGAGUAGACUUGGAGGCUGCGAUUUCCCCAUUCUGACCCCUGACUACCAUUCUUGAUGCGGAUAUGGAAUUGUUGAUAUCGAAAGUUGCAUCAAACUGUAUAGACUCCCAUAGUUCCUCCUCUCUGUGUUCAGAUCUAACAGCCGUGGUUGUAAGUUUUCUUUCUCGUACACCUUCAAGCUCUAUUAAAAAAUUUUGCACUUUAAAAGCUAGAUCCCUUCCUGAUGAAAUCUUCUUCUCAUGGAGCAUCUGAUUUCUCGAGUUCCAUAUAACCCAUAAUGCGUAACAAAAAAUGCGGAUUUGCUCCUUUGUUCCUCUACUGAAUACCCAGGUGAGCCAUGUCCAUGCACUCUGGUCUGUAUGUUCUGUUACCCAUGCCAUAUUGAGACUGAUCCAUGCAUCCAUGCUUACAGGGCAUUGCCUAAACACAUGAAGGCUAUCCUCUUCUGCAGAACAACCACGUGGACACCUUGCAAUAGUGGUCACUCUCUUAGAUCUGAGAUUAACAAGUGAAGGGAUGUAGUUCCAAGAUAUUCGCCAUAUGAAAAUUAGGAUUUUUGUUGGUAGCUGUAGAUUCCAUAAUUUCCUGUAGAAAUCUUUAGUAUCUGCCUGUAAUAAAUAAUUACUAGAAUCCAAGUUAGCUUCUUGUAAUAGUUUAUAGGCACUUCUAACUGUAAAUUCUCCGGAGGGUUCCCCUUUCCACACUUUCGUGUCAUCACAGUCCGUUCUCGCAAAAGGAAUCUGCAAAAUUUUUUGAGCGGUUUCCCUUUGAAAGGUAUUCACAAUUACCUCUGUCUUCCACUUAAUGUUAUCAAUGAGAUCAGAAACCUUAACUAACUCACCAUUGUCACGUCUGUUUUGCCACAUCUCCGGUUCCAUCCCUGGUAUCCAACGGUCAUUCCCGAUAGAUAUUGCAUCUCCUCUCCCGACUCUCCAGAUGAGACCGUUCAAAAGGAGCCUUUUUGCUGCCCAAAUGCUUCUCCAGGUAAGAGAUGGUAAGUUUCCCAACUGUGAAUUUAAAAAACUGGACCUUGGGUAGUAUUUGGCUUUAAAACUCUGGUUAAAAGUGAAUUUGGAUUAUUAAACAAACGCCAACCCUGUUUUGCUAACAACGCGAUAUUAAACUGAUUAAAAUUUCGGAAACCCAACUCGCCGUUUUCCUUUAAAAGAAAAGAUUUUUCCAAGAACACCAAUGAAUUCCCUUUUUUCCACUACUCUUUUGCCACCAAAAUCUCGCAACAAUACUCUCCAGUUCUUAGCAUAAUGACUUUGGGAGUAGAAAACAAGCCAUUGAGUAUGUCGGUAUGGCUUGCAAUACUGCCUUAAUGAAUAUUUCUUUUCCCCCUAGCGAUAAAAAACGAGUACUCCAAUUUUCAACCUGCUGUUUCAAUCUGUCUUUUAAAGCCUGAAAAGAUUGUUUCUUUUUCCUACCUAUCAUAUUUGGCAAACCCAGGUAUCUUUCUGGCUCAUCUGAACUUCGAACUCCCAGUAAAUUGACUAUUAGCUGUCUUUCUUCUUCAAGCGUAUUUUUGCUAAAAAAUACAGUUGAUUUGGAAAAAUUCACACAUUGGCCUGAACAACUCUUAUACUCACUAAGAAUCUCCUUAAGUGCUAAAGCUCCUUUCCUCGUCGCUUCUCCAAAAAGAAUACAAUCAUCCGCAAAUGGUAAAUGGUUUGCAUACGGACCAUUUCUGCUUGCCUUUACUCCUUUUAGAAGACCUUCUCUAGCUUUCAUUCUCAUUAGACUAGAUAUUCCUUAACCACAUAUUAGGAAAAGAAACGGGCUCAAAGGAUCACCCUGUCGAAGUCUCCUUUUUGGGCGAAAAAUUCCUCCAAUACUUCCAUUAAGCACUACUUGAUAAGUGACUGUAGAUAUGCAAUUCAUAAUAGAGGCGACCCAUUUUUGCUCAAAUCCCAUUCGCAGCAUUACUUCCUUGAUAAAUCCCCAUUCCACUCUGUCGUAAGCUUUGCUCAUAUCAAGCUUUACUGCCAUGAAUCCCUUUUUUCCCAUUCUUUUCUGCUUAAUAGUGUGCAGUAACUCAUAAGCGAGCAGGAUGUUAUCAGAAAUUAAUCUCCCUGGUACGAAUGCACUUUGUGCACUGUUAAUACAUUUGUCAAUGACUCCUCUAAAUCUGUUUUCUAUUGUUUUGGCCAUGAUUUUAUAAAUAACAUUGCAUAAGCUAAUAGGCCUAAAACGGGUCAUAGUAGAGGGAUUUUUGAUUUUUGGAAUAAGAACAAUAUGGGUUAAGUUUAUUUGACUGACCUCCAUUUUGCCAUUAAGUAGGUGUAGACAAUAAGCAGCCACCUUAUCUCCUAUAAAAUGCCAACAUUUCUGAUAAAAAAGAGCAGGAAAACCAUCUUCACCAGGUGCCUUAGUAGGAUGCAUUCCAAAUAAAGCCUCCCUUCUUCUUUUGUGUAUUUCGCUAUAAGAUUCCUGUUAUCAUCCUCUGAGAUACACCGCUCAAUUCCGGAGCGUAUACGCUCAUAAUUCGUUUGAUUUUCUGACAAGAACAUUUCUUGGAAAUAUGAUUGUACAAUUUGCUCCAUCUCAUGACUAUCAUUGGUUUACUGUCUGUUUCUAUUCUGUAGCUUGCUUAUCACAUUCCUCCUCAUCCUUUGCGUUGCUUGACUAUGAAAAAAGGCUGUAUUCAUAUCUCCAAGUUUUAGCCAAUUUAGUCGAGCUCUUUGUUCCCAAUAGGCUUCAUCCUUUUCAAUUUCAAAGUUAAGAUGGAUCUUCGUGUCAAUCAUCUCAGCUAAAUUUGAAUCAUCCCUGUCGGUUUCAAUCAAUGUUGACAGUUUGGUUGUGAGGAAUUCUUUCCUCCCUUGUUUUUUCCUUUGCACCUGUCCCAUCCACUUAACAAGCCCUUUUCAAAAAAUUUCUAUUUUCUUAAAAAAAUCACCAGAUGUCAUCCCCCAUAAACGCUCAGCUUCAUCAACAAAUGUGUCUUCCAUGAUCCACUAGGCUUCGAAUUUAAAUUGAUUAUUCUUUCCCGGUUCUGUUCUUUAUUUGUGUUAACAAAAAUAGGACAAUGAUCAGAAAAAGAAUGAACCAAGUGUUCAACUCUUACCUCAGGAAACAUGGAGAUCCAACUCUCAUUAGCUACACCCUUAUCAUUGCGCUCUUGAAUGUUUGUUUCUUGGAAGUUUCCUCUCUCUCAAGUGAACCAUCUGCCGAAAUAUCCCAUAUCAGAAAGCUGGCAAAAGUUGAGAGCUUCUGGAAACAACUCCAUUCUUUUUUCCUCUCUUGGCAAGCCUCCCUUCUUUUCGAAAUCAAAUAAUAUUUCAUUAAAAUCCCCACAAACCAGCCAAGGGAUAUUUUCCUCUCUAUGGAGAUUUUUCGAAGUAGACCAUGAAUCUUCUCUAUCCUGCGCAAAUGGAGCUCCGUAGAAGCCAGUAAAACGCCAUUUUAUACCCUUUUCAUCAUCCUCCACCUCCACAUCAAUGUGUCUUUUAGAGAUUCUUCAGCAUAACAUUUAUGUUAUAGCGCCAUGCUAGACACAGACCACCUCGAGAUCCCUCAGAAUCAAAUUCAAUGCCAUUCCCAAACCACAUCUUCGUCUAAUUCUUUCCAUUCGGUUUCUACAAAGCUUAGUCUCCAUAAAGAAGACUAUUUGGGGAUUGUAAGUCCUCAGCGUAUUCUGAAGCCUUCGAACUGUCCGUAGACUCCCCAAUCCACGGACGUUCCAGCCUAGAAUUUUCAUUGCUGUCGGUCGGCUUGACAUUUGGCAGCCGCCGAUGAUAAUUAACUAAUGUCCACCAUUCUCCUAUUUCCCAGUAUGUUCCUCAGUUCUUCAUGCCUUGUUAUAUCAUCAGUUUCCCCUCUAGGCCUCUUCUUUCCUUCCUCCCCUACAAGAGCAACAUUUUCUGGAUCCUGGUCCAUCGCAUUAGGAGUUAAAUUCUCCAUACCUCGUACCGCCUGAGAUGAACCUACCUUCAAAUUUAAGCCAAGAACUGGAUCAAUAUUUUGCCCAUAUCUUAUUUUCCACCCCGGAAGCUUAUGUUCUUUUCUAAGGUUUCCAGAUUCUACAUUAAUCUCUCCACCGUCCCCAUCUCCUUCCUCCCGUAACCAGAUGCUAUUCAUUGCUAAUGACCUUCGUGAUUGGGCUCGAAUAGACAAAUUUUGCCCAUUUCUGUAAUUUCCUCUCCAAGGUUCAUUCUUUCCUCGCAAAACGAGUCAUUAUGUCCAAGACUUCCACAAUAGAAACAGAUUAAAGAUAAACGCUCAUAUUUAAAAGUGACAUAUGAGCAGUUUCCGCCAAAAGAAAUUAUCUUCCUCCUUUUCAAAGAGCGCCGUAUGUCGAUCUGAACUCUAAUUCUCAUAAAAUUCCUGUUUCCUUUCCCCAAAAGUGAAAUAUCAUGUUCCAUGAAAUUCCCCAAGAAAUUACCUAAUUGGACAGCCAGACUAUCAGAAAAAAGACCAGUAGGGAUGUUGUAAAUCUGGACCCAAAAAGGUGUCAGAACUAAAGGGAUCUGUAGAGGAUCCUCCCCCAAUUGCAAUAUAUAAAGCACCACAAAAUGAUUGUUGAAGGUCCAAGGUGAACCUUUCAAAACCCUAUUCAUAUCCAUAGCAUGAAAAAACUAAAAUAAAUACCUUAUUUUCUCCCAGAUCACGGAUUCGUACUCCCUUAACCGGACAUUGUACUUUUCAUUGCAGGGAAGUGAAUCGUGCUUGCUGUGAGAAAACAUCCUACUAAUUGAAAGAUUUCGCCCCUAUUUUCCGUGUUUGGAUCUAUUGGGAUGUGGAUAAUUUCCUCCUCUUCAUCAUUAAGCGACAGUUGGGCUAACUCAUUCUCCAUUCUUUGCAGGUUAAAAUUCCAGCCUUUAACGAUCACAAAUCCUAUUUCAAGAGAAGGACGGAAGCAUGCCACAGAUAACAAAAGUAGAGUAACAAGAAAAACAAAACUUUACGAAAACCUAAAAAUUCUUGCCAGUGGCGGCAGACAAAGGCUUGCUAGGGUAGCAGACUUUUUAAAAAAGAGAAAAAUGAAUAUAAAUAUGUGUUUUUAAAUUUAUUAAAUAUUGUAUUUAAUAAAAUUUAAUUAAGCAAAAAAUGUUUAGGAUUUAAAUUAAAUCGAUAACUCAUUAGGGAGAAAAUCUCGUUUUAGGAGAUAUAUGUUAUUUUUCUUCCUGAUGAUUGAUUGCCCUUCAAAAUAGUUUUGAAUAAAAAGGAAGGCAAAUCCCAAAUUCAAGGUUACCCAAAAUACUAUCUUUUGACUAGUAGCUAAAAAAAAGAGUUUCUUUUUUCUCUCUAAAGUAUUAUGAGAGAUUUUCUGAUCGAUUUCAUCCAGGGUGGAUACCAAUAGAGGCCAAGACUUUUCUGUUGCGGCUAUGGUUUGCGACACGGACAAAAGAAUUAACGUCAUACCGAUGCUGCUUUCAUAUCAUUAAAGGUAUAUUUUUCGUCAUUUUUAGCGCGAGUUUAUUCCUCGUACAUGUAUCCUUGGUUUGUGGUAGCCAUAAUAUUUUUUCAUUGUGCCAAGGGGUGUAUUGACGAUCCAACAUAAAAUAGAUGAGUUUUAAGGUGAAUUUUAGGCCCAAGCAUAGUUGUAUCAAUGCUUGGAUUGUGUUGAUACAAGCAUGACAGUGAGUAAAAAGCUACAGUAGCAAGGACUUGUAUUGGUACAAGUCCUUGGACUUGUACUGAAUCAACAAUGGUAGACUAGGGUCCCUUUCUUGUUUUGAGUUGUUUCAACUCCCAAGAUUCGUAAUUGGUCUUGGACACUUCCAAACAUCUAGAAAUCGUUUUAAAAUGUUUCCAAUAUAAUUUUAAAGACUAAAAAAAUGAAUUUUGAUUAUUUUAAAUGACAGAUCUAAGUGGUUUUAGUUUGGAUUUCUUAAUGAAUUCAAUGUAUGAUUAGACAAUGAAUGUGAUAUCUCGCAAGCUAACUUCGAACGUAAUAAUCACUUCCUUAUAUUGUAUUUUGGGUGUGAAGUAAAAUAUUUAUAGAGUAGAAAUAUUCUGUCAUGAUUGUCAACUUCUACUGUAUUUAAUAGGUGGGUGAGCCAAUGACCAAAUGAAUAGCAAAUUUUUGGUAUUAAAACCUCCUCUUUUGCUCUUUGUCUUCAUCAUUCCAUUCCAUUCCAUGUGUAAAAUUGCAGGUUGUUUAGUUGUUCAAAUGUGCAAUCAAGGUGCCAAAAAUAAUAUAAAAUAAAAUGUGCAAGCAAUUCAUAAUUUCUAUAAAUUCAAUCUUGAUGGGUUGCUCAGAAAGUUUCCAUUUUUUUAGGGUAAACUAAAACAUCAUUUCAUUAUCUUUUGAAAAAAUAAUGGAAGUUUGAUAAAUAAUAUUUAUAUUAAAGUG